ensembl:snoRNA SNORD62 Small nucleolar RNA SNORD62
UCUCAAUGAUGCAAUUCCAAUAUAUCCUCCUGACCCUCCACUGUGGACUCAAUAGCAGGGAAACUAAGAGGGGGAAAAAUGAGUUAGGGA